CUCUUUCAGUCUCACGUGGCAACAAAAACAACUUGUAUAUCCUCACAAGUAUCUGAUGAUGAACAUAGACAAAAAAGAGAAAAUAUUCGUUCUUUAACUAUGUCUGGCCAUGUUGGUUUUGAGAGUUUGCCUGAUCAGCUGGUCAAUAGAUCCGUUCAGCAAGGCUUCUGUUUUAAUAUUCUCUGUGUGGGGGAGACUGGAAUUGGAAAAUCAACGUUGAUUGAUACAUUGUUUAAUACUAAUUUUGAAGACCAUGAAUCCUCACAUUUUUACCCACAUGUUAAACUUAAAGCUCAGACAUAUGAACUCCAGGAAAGUAAUGUUCGAUUAAAAUUGACCAUUGUGAAUACAGUGGGAUUUGGUGACCAAAUAAACAAAGAAGAGAGCUACCAACCAGUAGUUGACUACAUAGAUGCUCAGUUUGAGGCCUAUCUCCAAGAAGAACUGAAGAUUAAGCGUUCUCUCUUUAACUACCAUGACUCUCGUAUCCAUGUGUGCCUCUACUUCAUCUCACCAACAGGCCACUCUCUGAAGACACUUGAUCUCUUAACCAUGAAGAGCCUUGACAGCAAAGUGAACAUUAUACCAGUGAUUGCCAAAGCAGAUGCAGUUUCUAAAACUGAAUUACAGAAGUUUAAGAUCAAGCUCAUGAGUGAAUUGGUCAGCAAUGGUGUCCAGAUAUACCAGUUCCCAACAGAUGAUGAAACUAUUGCUAAAAUCAAUGCCUCAAUGAAUGGACAUUUGCCGUUUGCUGUGGUAGGAAGUAUGGAUGAGGUAAAAGUUGGAAAUAAGAUGGUCAAAGCUCGCCAGUACCCUUGGGGUGUUGUACAAGUGGAAAAUGAAAACCAUUGUGACUUUGUAAAGCUCCGGGAAAUGCUCAUUUGUACAAACAUGGAGGAUCUGCGAGAACAGACCCACACAAGGCACUAUGAACUUUACAGGCGUUGCAAACUGGAGGAAAUGGGCUUUACAGAUGUGGGCCCAGAGAAUAAGCCACUCAGUCUUCAAGAGACCUACGAAGCCAAAAGACAUGAAUUUUAUGGUGAACGUCAGAGGAAGGAAGAAGAAAUGAAGCAGAUGUUUGUGCAGCGAGUAAAGGAGAAAGAAGCCAUACUGAAAGAAGCUGAAAGAGAGCUACAGGCCAAAUUUGAGCACCUUAAACGAGUUCACCAAGAAGAGAGAAUGAAGCUUGAAGAAAAGAGAAGACUUUUGGAAGAAGAAAUAAUUGCUUUCUCCAAAAAGAAAGCUACCUCCGAGAUAUACCAGAACCAGAGCUUUAUGGCAUCCGGCAGCAACCUGAAGAGGGACAAGGACCGUAAGAAGGAACCAGGCUAUCGAUUCGAACUCCUGUGCUUUGAUGUCAGAGCUUGUGAAACGAGUGGUGGACGUAAAGAUGCAGAGGAAGGUAGAGAGGGCCCCAGUACAAUGGGGCGGCCAUGAGUAGCGUUUGGAUGAUAAUCUCAAGGCUUAUAGGUGUGGGGUAUGUGUUAAAAUCAAAGUUACCAAAGUUUUAGAAAAUAAGUUUUUUUCCCUCUUCUGUACUUCUUGUGCUUCAUUUUAUUUCUUCCACUUAAAAUGUCCUUGUCAGCUUGCCUAUUUGACUGUUCUUGAAAUUCAUUGUUGACUUGUUCUAUCAAGAAUGCUCCUUUGUGGGUCUUUGCCUCAGUUUACUCCAACUACCUGUGCUUUAGCAGCAUCCAAUCCUCCUUAUGUUCCUCAUGGAGCAACACUUCUAAUUUAAUUUUAUCACCACAUUUUAUUUCAAAUGUAGCAUUUUCAGAUAUUGUUAAUUCAACUUCAAAAUAGUUAGGAAAAUUUGAACCAAGGAGAAGUAAAUCCACAGAGUUUGGGUGGAUUUAGUUGGCCUGUGAAUUUUAUAGUUUUGGGGGAAGAAAGAAGGAAUUUUCAUGUAUGAUCUUUUAAUGUAAUCUCUACAAGGGCGUGGAUCUUUGUUUUGUUCCUUGACGUAUCCACCCCCAGCUCCUAGAACAGUGCCUGGUGCUUAGUAGGCAUGCAAUCAUUUGUCGAAAGAAUGAAUACAAUUCAUAAAAGCUAUGUUUUAUUCAAGCACUGAUUUUCAAAAAGUAAACUAAAAAUAUAAUUUAUUACUGCUUUUCAAUAUUCUUUGAAUUAUAAAGCUAAGGGAACUUUUACCUUCUUAUCCUUUCAUCUUAAUGCAGUGUUACUAAAAUUGGAUUCCCCAAUUUUAUUCCAUAAACGAAAGACAAUUUACCUUGUAAAAACUGUCACCCUGUUCCACUUGAGAAUCAUUAGUAUGUGCUGUUGUUUACAAAAUCACGACCAAGCCCAUAGUUUUUUGAGAGCUCAGAAUUAAUUAAUUCUCAAGAAAACAGUUUGGUGUUUUUUUGUUUUUUCUUUUCUAAAAUCCCAUAGCUAAAUAUCCUAUAGUAUAUUAGAUGUAUAUUUGCUCUUUCUAUAAAAGCUUUGUAAAACUAAUGAUUCUAGUAAUUUUUAUUUCAUAUAUGAUUUUCUGUUGUACCAAUCAGAAGUUUUUUCUCUUUCCAGCUCCAAUUUUAUGUAAAACAAAGGUUCCAGAUCACAGAAAGUCAUCACAAGCAAAAGUUAUUAAAAUGUUAGAAGUGUG